GUCCCUAUCUGCCGUGGGCGCUGGAGAACUGAGGGGGGCUGCUCCUAGUACGAGAGGACCGGAGUGGACGCAUCACUGGUGUUCGGGUUGUCAUGCCAAUGGCACUGCCCGGUAGCUAAAUGCGGAAAAGAUAAGUGCUGAAAGCAUCUAAGCACGAAACUUGCCCCGAGAUGAGUUCUCCCUGAGACUUUAGGUCUCCUGAAGGAACGUUGAAGACGACGACGUUGAUAGGCCGGGUGUGUAAGCGCAGCGAUGCGUUGAGCUAACCGGUACUAAUGAACCGUGAGGCUUAACCUUACAACGCCGAAG
rnacentral:rRNA from 1 species